AGUGACCCGUGCUUGGGGUGAUAGUAGGGGUGUGGGUGGUGGUAGCUAAUUCUUGGCAAUUUCUGCCACAGGCAUUUUUAGCUCUCGUUGGAAGGUAAGAGGCUUGUGGGGAAUGAAUUAAGGAGGCAGCUUUGCUGCGUGGUGGGGCCUUAUCACAUCCGCUUGCCUCAGCUCCGUUUACUCCUUUUGAAUGUGUUGUUAAUUCCCAAGUUGUGAUGUAGAUUUUCAGUGAGAUUUGGUUAUGGGCACUGAGGCUCUGAUGGUCUGGAGUCCAGAUGACAGCUACCACCAGCAGCAGGGCUGAAGUUGGCUGUUUCUCGUGGAGUUAGAGUGCCCUCUGCUGACCCUAGGCCGUAAGUGCUCCUCCUACAGAGGUACUUUUGCCAUUGCUUUCUUCCAGGUAAAGGGAAAGCUGCAGAACCGCUGCUUUCCAAACCCAGAUGCCCUCAGCUGAUCACGGAGCAUCUGGCUGCACUUAACUGGAGGCCAGGGCGGGGAGCUUGGGCUCGUGCAAGGAAAUUUUUAUCGAGAUGUCAUCACAGAGCAUGAUUCAGCUGCGAGGGAGCUCGGUCCUGAGUUGUGUUCCCUUGGCAGAAGACCAUGGUUAAGGAUCUGUGAAGAGCUAGAAGCUUUGGGAAAUUUCAUCAGCUGAACCCUGGAAAAUUUCCUGCCUAUUCUGGUUCAAUGUUUGAUUGGGAAUUUAUGAUGAGAAGCUGAAAAUGUUACUCGUCCUACUA